GCUACAGGCUUAACACAUGCAAGUCGAGGGGUAGCAGGGUAGCAAUACCGCUGACGACCGGCGCACGGGUGAGUAACACGUAUCCAACCUUCCCAUAACUCGGGGAUAGCCUUUCGAAAGAAAGAUUAAUACCCGAUAGUACUUUAUUAAGGCAUCUUAAGAAAGUUAAAGAUUUAUCGGUUAUGGAUGGGGAUGCGUUCCAUUAGAUAGUUGGUGAGGUAACGGCUCACCAAGUCUUCGAUGGAUAGGGGUUCUGAGAGGAAGGUCCCCCACAUUGGUACUGAGACACGGACCAAACUCCUACGGGAGGCAGCAGUGAGGAAUAUUGGUCAAUGGGCGAGAGCCUGAACCAGCCAAGUAGCGUGAAGGAUGACGG
rnacentral:rRNA from 1 species